rnacentral:rRNA from 1 species
GGGCCCCGCACUCCCGGGGCGUCUCGUCCUCAUCGCGAGGAGAGGCGCACCCAGAGCGUACACGCUGGGACCCGAAAGAUGGUGAACUAUGCCUGGUCAGGACGAAGUCAGGGGAAACCCUGAUGGAGGUCCGUAGCGAUUCUGACGUGCAAAUCGAUCGUCGGAACUGGGUAUAGGGGCGAAAGACUAAUCGAACCUUCUAGUAGCUGGUUCCCUCCGAAGUUUCCCUCAGGAUAGCUGGCGCUCGCCUUUGCGAGUCUCAUUCGGUAAAGCGAAUGAUUAGAGGCAUUGGGGUCGAAACGGCCUCAACCUAUUCUCAAACUUUAAAUGGGUGAGAUCUCCGGCUUGCUUGAAGCGUGAAGCCGCGAGAUAUCGGAUCACAGAGUGCCAAGUGGGCCACUUUUGGUAAGCAGAACUGGCGCUGUGGGAUGAACCAAACGCCGAGUUAAAGCGCCAAAAUCGACGCUUAUGGGAUACCAUGAAAGGCG